UACGUAGGGGGCUAGCGUUGUCCGGAAUCAUUGGGCGUAAAGAGCGUGUAGGCGGCCCGGUAAGUCCGCUGUGAAAGUCGGGGGCUCAACCCUCGAAUGCCGGUGGAUACUGUCGGGCUAGAGUGCGGAAGAGGCGAGUGGAAUUCCUGGUGUAGCGGUGGAAUGCGCAGAUAUCAGGAGGAACACCGGUGGCGAAGGCGGGUCUCUGGGCAGUAACUGACGCUGAGGAGCGAAAGCGUGGGGAGCGAACAGG
rnacentral:rRNA from 1 species